AGGGUAAUAGUUAAAAUCCAUAACAUUUAAUUUGCAUUUAAAAAAUAUUAGUAUAGCUAAUUUACCUUG
rnacentral:tRNA from 1 species